rnacentral:rRNA from 1 species
UACGGAGGAUCCAAGCGUUAUCCGGAUUUAUUGGGUUUAAAGGGUGCGUAGGCGGCGUUGUAAGUCAGUGGUGAAAGUUUUCAGCUUAACUGGAAAAUUGCCAUUGAUACUGCAGUGCUUGAGUACAGAUGAGGUGGGCGGAAUGUGUCAUGUAGCGGUGAAAUGCAUAGAUAUGACACAGAACACCGAUUGCGAAGGCAGCUCACUAAACUGUAACUGACGCUGAGGCACGAAAGCGUGGGGAUCAAACAGG